UCCUAGUACGAGAGGACCGGAGUGGACGCAUCACUGGUGUUCGGGUUGUCAUGCCAAUGGCACUGCCCGGUAGCUAAAUGCGGAAGAGAUAAGUGCUGAAAGCAUCUAAGCACGAAACUUGCCCCGAGAUGAGUUCUCCCUGAGACUUWRRGUCUCCUGAAGGAACGUUGAAGACGACGACGUUGAUAGGCCGGGUGUGUAAGCGCAGCGAUGCGUUGAGCUAACCGGUACUAAUGAACCGUGAGGCUUAACCUU
rnacentral:rRNA from 1 species